rnacentral:lncRNA from 1 species
UAACCUAAAACUACCCCAACUUCUUUCCCACUAUUCCCCAAUAUCCCACUACACCAUGCACACACAUGCAAUAUAUAUCUACACACGGAAAGAAAAGAAAAGAAAAAAAAAAAACAUACUCCUACUAAACAACUUACAACCUACAACCUACAGCAAUCCAAAAACCCUCUCCAGCAACCAAUAAUAACUACUCCCUCUCAUGUUCCCAAUACCAAUCCAAACAAACAACAUCUAAUACUAUUAUAAGAAUCCAUAUACUCCCUCACUAGACGCGGUUUUCUUCCAGCAACAACAAACAACCAUAUA